CAGACAUAUUAGUGGUUGCUGGGUGCGUGUUCCUAUUCUCUCGGGGAAUUGCGGCUCUCAAAAGCAGCUGGUUAGCGGAAACGCAAAGGCGCAAAUCCAACUCCUAACCUUCGCCCGUUUUUAGCCUCAAAUAAUAAUAAUGAUCCAAAAAUUUGUGCGUGUUUCUUGUUAAGAUUCGGAAACUUUAACGACUAGCCUCUUGUAUUUGCUCUUUGAGGGGUCAAUUCUCUGACACCCCUCUCUCCGCAAAAUACAGCUUUCUUCUCUUUUCUCCGCCGUCAGCUCUGGUUUUCUUCCCUCGCCAAACAUGAGUUCACUUGUGCAGGGGUUCACAAAGUCUCUUGCCAUGACUGUGCUAUCCGAGAUCGGCGACAAGACCUUUUUUGCCGCAGCGAUCUUGGCAAUGCGUCAUCCGAGAAGACUUGUUUUGUCAGGUUGCCUAGCUGCCUUGAUUGUGAUGACUAUUCUUUCUGCUGUUGUUGGCUGGGCUGCUCCAAAUCUGCUCUCUCGCACAUGGACUCAUCACAUAACAACUGUAUUGUUUUUUGGAUUUGGGUUAUGGUCCUUGUGGGAUGGAUUUACUGACAAAGGGGAGGCUGAAGAAUUGGCUGAAGUUGAAGCAAAAUUGGAUGCUGAUUGGAAAGCUAAUACUGGAAUAACCAAAGAGGAUGUUAAGGCUGAUGAUGAAUUGAAGAAGCAGAGACAACCAUUUCUUGCACAAUUCUUCUCACCUAUAUUCUUGAAGGCGUUUUCCAUCACAUUCUUUGGUGAAUGGGGCGACAAGAGCCAGAUAGCUACCAUUGGUUUGGCUGCAGAUGAGAACCCAUUUGGUGUUGUUCUUGGUGGAAUUGUAGGCCAAGCACUCUGUACCACUGCUGCUGUUGUUGGAGGAAAAAGCUUGGCAUCUCAGAUAUCUGAGAAAAUAGUAGCGCUGUCAGGUGGCAUUCUUUUUAUCAUUUUUGGGAUGCAGUCCUUACUUUUGACAGCGGAGUCAUGAGGCUCCUGAUAUUGCUAAUGGUUAGUAGUUCCAGAACAUUCAAAUACCACAUCUUAGAAGUCACUGGCUAUUAAGAAUAGCACCUAAAGUUUCCAUGCACAAGUACAAUGCAAUGGAAAUCGCCAAUAUGGUUCUCCAUUUGCAUAUUGGAGCAGAAUAUCUAAGAAUUGAUUUAGCAAACUGAUACCAUUGUUAUUAAACUGGGAAGGGUUUCCUUGUUCAUCAUAUAAGAGAACUCACUUGCCGCACACACAUGGUCAUGAUGGUGGAUGCUGGCUAGCAUACUUUGUGCUCACCAAAACUGAUGAUUACGAUUUGUGGUUGCAUCUUUUCAGGGUUGAAAGCUGGUUAGGUGGAUU